AGAGAGGGGAGUGGGCUGUGGUGUUGCCAGGGUGUGCAGAUGGCAGCAGGGUCCCAGGAAUGGCCACACAGGAGCAAGGGCUGCCUGGGUGCAGCUCGGCUCCGUGCCGGGAGCUGGCAGUGCCUGGUCAGUGCCCAACCCGAGGGACCCACGGCGGUGUCCUUGCUGGGAGCCUGGGGAGCCGGGGCAGCCCGCGGCACUGCUGGGCACUGCACUGGGAUGAUGCUGUCCCGCCAAGGGCCAUGUGCCUGUUGGUAUCACACAGUCCCAUUUCCCUGGGGAUUUGGUGACAGCUCUGUGGGACGCAGCGGGGUGUCUCUGGAAAGCCACCUGCAUAGAGGGAUUUCUGCAGUCCAGAAGCACUGCUCCUGACAGAGCCUCCAGAAAUCCUUCUUAAACCAGGGUGGGACGGUGGCACAUGUUCCCAGCCCAGCUGUCAACACUCCAAGAACACCGAAAGCUUUAAAUAGCACCAAACUUCAUCUUGCAAACACUGGCGUCGCUCAGGCCAGCGACAAGCAUUGUAGCUGGGAGGGAGGGAUGGAGCAGAGUAUGUGUGAAACCACGUAUCUCUUAUUGCUGCCAUCCUCAGGUUUGGUCUUUCCCAUUCCCUCUCACCGUUUUGCUUUAGCUGAGAGUGCAGGGAAGCAAGAGCCGACGAGCCCUGGCUGUGAGAACGCUUCGCUCCUGGGUGCCCUGAGCAGCCUGGCCGUGCUGCAGCUCCACGGUGGAUGGGAGAUACUUAUCCAGUGACACCAUGUGACGGCGAGGGGUUUAUACGGAGCGACAGCAUCACCCAAAUGCUUCCGCAUGGAGACAACGCAUGGAUGCAAGGAGGGGACAGGGACAGGCUCACCUGCACCCCGGGCAGCCUCUCGCGGUGGGCGAGCAGCUCCUUCUCAGCCAGCAGCAGCACGGUGUGGAUGCAGCCCGGUGAGACGCUCUGCAGAAGGCAGGGAAGAGUCAAACUCCAUGGUGCAGCACCCAGAUCUCCUGCCCCUGGGCUUGGCAGGAGGAGAGCAAGUCCCUUCUUGGUGCCCUGAUCUGCAAGCAUCCUGCCAAGCUUCCUGCACUCCGGCCGUCGGACCGCUGUUCUCCUAACACUCGGUCUUUGCACAAUUCCUCGGAGUGACAGGAGACCUUGCUGUGGAAAAGUCUCGUGCAGGGUGAAGCUCAGCUCCUGCAGGGCCCCAGAGCAGCCGCCCACUCCCACGCACUGAGUCCAGCCAGGUGCUCACCACAUCCCUCUCUUGGCACCACGGAGCUCAGCUCUUCCCCGUGCAGGAAGAGGAGCAAAGGGGGAUCCGUCCGGCUGCUGGUGCUGCCAUGAGAGAUGGGCCAGGGCUGCCUGCCCUGCCUCUGCCAGAGCCCCUGCCCCGAGUCACCCUCGCACAGCCCUGGCACAUCCCAACGGCAGCUCUUUGGAAAACCAGCUAAACUCUUUAAGUCAUGUAGCGCUGAUAAAAAAGCAAAAGGAACCAGAAAAAGGAGCCAGGUCCCCUGAGAUGAGGCUGCCAUGGCUGUGGCCACAGGGCAACGAUCAGCCCCAGAUCCAACCGUGCUGCUGAGGAGGGCUCAGCAGGGUGGAGGGCGCAGACUGCCACCCAACAGGGCCAUGGUGCACUCUUCUCGCAGCCCCAUCCCGCACCCAUUGUCUCUUGUGACACCGUCCCCCCAGUCCCCUGCAGCCUCCUCCGGCCGUGGCACACACAGCACGUGCAGCCCAGUCCCGCACCUUGGUGGCAGGGGAGAAACACACAGAGUUUGGGUAAACCAACUGGGAUAAACUGAGGGUGUCUGGGGGAGGGGAUAGCCCUGCUGAAGGAGGGAAAAGGAAAAUCUUCCAAGCCACCACCAAAACUCCACAGCCCAGGGACGUGCCAGGGGAUGGAUCAACUGAAUAAAGAAAGCUGCUCCCCAGUCAAUGGAAUAAAACCGCCCAGGAAUCUGUCCAGCAGGACCGUGCGAACCAGUGUCGGGACAGAACCACUGACCCCUGGCAGCCUCAUCCCCCUGUGCCAGGGGAUAUUUUGUCCUGGAAAGACUAAAGCCAUUUUCAUUGAGUGCCACAAAACGCUUUGUCGCUGGGAAAGGUGUUGGGGUUACCACGGCGCUGCAUUAGUGGGAGAAGCGGAGGCCAGGCCAGCCGGGGAGCCGAUAGGAAUCCAAAAGCAAGCAAUUAGCCCCUGUCCCUUCGCCAGCUGCGAGAGAGCGCAGAACCAAAACAAAAGGCAUUAGGGAGCAUAAGGAGAUUUACAUUUGCAAAGCUAUUUCCAUUUCAAUAAGCCAAAGUACUGUUAAAUAGAGAUUGAUAUUUCUCCCCAAAUACCCAUAUCUUUUAAAGUGGUUUACACCAACAAGACGAGCCAGGCGUUGGUGUUUUGGUGCUGGAAAGUUGCUUAACUCAAACCCAAAGCCACAGGAUGACUCAGCUCCGGCUCCUUUCUCCCUCUUUCUCAGGGAAGAUUGAGGUUGGAGUGCUGGGACCAGCCCUGAAUAUCAAUUCCUCUCCCUCUCCUGCAGCCUCCACUGUCAACAGCUUUGGCAGGGCACGACGCAAACGCUAACGAAGAGCCCCAGCCCAGCAGGGUGGGAGGCCAGUGUUCCACACAGCAUUGCCCAGCAAACCUGGGCAACGGCGUGUGCCGGCUGUGGUGACAAAAAAGAUGGCCAGCCUGGGGACGGAUUCACCGAGCAUCCCACACCUGCACACCAGGUUUGGUUCCUGCAGUAGCUCCCACUGCUGCACCCCAUCCCGCUGCCAAACUUGGUGGGGAAGUUUGAGCAUCGCAGGCUGCAGCCCUGCAGGCACCUGCCCAGUCAGCCAGCAGCCACCGCUGCCUUCACACCCGACCUGUGCUUUUGCACCCGAUCUGCUCCAUCGCUCCCAACCUGCACCUUUGCAUCCAACCUGCACCUCCACACCCAUCCUCUGCCAUCACUCCUCAUCUUUGCCUUCCCACCCACCCUCCACCUUCACACCCAACCCUCUGCCUUCGCACCUGACCUGCACCUUCGCACCUGACCUUUGCUUUCACACCCAGCCUGCGCCAUCGCUCCUGACCUGCACCGUUGCAUCCGACCUGCGUCUUCACACCCGACUCCCACAUUCACACCCACCCUUUGCCCGCACCCUCUGCCGUUGCACCCAACUCUCCGCCUUCGCCCCCACCCGUGCCAUCGCUCAGACGCGCACCCCAUUCUCUGGGGGUGCCGCAGAUGGCAGCGAGCGGGGAAGCU